UUCAAAAUUCACGGUUUGCCAUUUUCAUGCAACUUGAUUAUUUCAUGUCUUCAUUUCUAUUGAACAUAUCUCAUAAUACAAGAUUCAAAGGAAAUAAAUUAAACAAAAUAACAAUAAAACAAACCAAGCUUAAACAGUGCAUAGACAGAUUCAUAUUUUUAAACAAAGAAGCAUAUCCAUUGAUUAACGAGACCGACGAUAGGAGAUAAACUUGAAAACAAAAUGAUGAAGCUCGCACAGCAGAGAUAAUACAUCACGAAAAACCACAUAAUCUUCAAAGCAGCAGCAUAUAUGAGUCUAAGCCCGCACCGAAAAAGACCUCGACUAGAAUCGCACAAGUCCGAAAAGCCUCAGCAUUCGAGCAGUGAAUUUAUGACCUCCAAACCUCUUGGAAAUCCAGGUUUUUAGAGACCUUUUCUUGGUUUUUUGCGCGAUUUUUAGGCAGGUUGGAGUAAGUGGAAGAAGGAGCAACGAUGGUUGUCUUGUUGCUGUAUUUUUCGGAGAAUCUAGGGUUGCUGAUGGAAGGCUUAAUGGGCUUGUUAAUGGACGUGAGGACGACGCUGGAGUGAGUGUCGAUUGGUCGAGAGUGUUUCCGGAGAGGUUUUUUGCCUUGGAAUAGCUGGCCGGUUGGUGAGGGAGAUGGAGGUGACGCUGGUUUGAUGAGGGGGUCGCCGGCGGUGUAGGGUGCUGUGGAGAGGAGUUGGCGGGCAAUAGUCCAGGGGGUCAUUUGGCGACUGUUAUCUAGUGUUUUUUAGGGUUUUGGUUCUCUUCCCCUUUUGAAGAAGAAUAUCAGGUUUUUUUAUUUGGUUUUUUUUUUUUUGGAAAUUAAUAUU
rnacentral:lncRNA from 1 species